UGGGGGAUAUUGCACAAUGGGCGCAAGCCUGAUGCAGCGACGCCGCGUGGGUGAAGAAGUACCCCGGUACGUAAAGCCCUAUCAGCAGGGAAGAAAAUGACGGUACCUGACUAAGAAGCUCCGGCUAAAUACGUGCCAGCAGCCGCGGUAAUACGUAUGGAGCAAGCGUUAUCCGGAUUUACUGGGUGUAAAGGGAGCGUAGGCGGCAUACCAAGCCUGAUGUGAAAACCCGGGGCCCAACCCCGGGAGUGCAUUGGGAACUGGCAAGCUGGAGUGUCGGAGAGGCAGGCGGAAUUCCUAGUGUAGCGGUGAAAUGCGUAGAUAUUAGGAGGAACACCAGUGGCGAAGGCGGCCUGCUGGACGAUGACUGACGCUGAGGCUCGAAAGCGUGGGGAGCAAACAGG
rnacentral:rRNA from 1 species